UGGGGAAUAUUGCGCAAUGGGGGGAACCCUGACGCAGCCAUGCCGCGUGAAUGAAGAAGACCUUAGGGUUGUAAAGUUCUUUCGGUAUUGAGGAAGGUUGAUGUGUUAAUAGCACAUCAAAUUGACGUUAAAUACAGAAGAAGCACCGGCUAACUCCGUGCCAGCAGCCGCGGUAAUACGGAGGGUGCGAGCGUUAAUCGGAAUAACUGGGCGUAAAGGGCACGCAGGCGGUUAUUUAAGUGAGGUGUGAAAGCCCUGGGCUUAACCUAGGAAUUGCAUUUCAGACUGGGUAACUAGAGUACUUUAGGGAGGGGUAGAAUUCCACGUGUAGCGGUGAAAUGCGUAGAGAUGUGGAGGAAUACCGAAGGCGAAGGCAGCCCCUUGGGAAUGUACUGACGCUCAUGUGCGAAAGCGUGGGGAGCAAACAGGAUUAGAUACCCUGGUAGUCCACGCUGUAAACGCUGUCGAUUUGGGGGUUGGGGUUUAACUCUGGCGCCCGUAGCUAACGUGAUAAAUCGACCGCCUGGGGAGUACGGCCGCAAGGUUA
rnacentral:rRNA from 1 species